CCAGACUCCUACGGGAGGCAGCAGUGGGGGAUAUUGGACAAUGGGGGGAACCCUGAUCCAGCGACGCCGCGUGAGUGAAGAAGUAUCUCGGUAUGUAAAGCUCUAUCAGCAGGGAAGAAAGAAAUGACGGUACCUGAGUAAGAAGCCCCGGCUAACUACGUGCCAGCAGCCGCGGUAAUACGUAGGGGGCAAGCGUUAUCCGGAUUUACUGGGUGUAAAGGGAGCGUAGACGGCAGCACAAGUCUGGAGUGAAAUGCCGGGGCUUAACCCCGGAACUGCUUUGGAAACUGUGCAGCUAGAGUGCAGGAGAGGUAAGUGGAAUUCCUAGUGUAGCGGUGAAAUGCAUAGAUAUCACGCAGAACUCCGAUUGCGAAGGCAGCAUACCGGCGCCCAACUGACGCUCAGGCACGAAAGCGUGGGUAUCGAACAGGAUUAGAUACCCUCGUA
rnacentral:rRNA from 1 species